CUGCAGAUAUAAAAACGAACUCUGUAUCAGUCAGACGCAGCAAAGCUCACCGUCUGUAUGAGCGUGAGCAUCGGAAAGCUGAUCAAAUCAGCUGUAAAAUAAUUAAAACAAAGUAAAAAUGUUCCUUUGCUUUUUACAGUCCACAUCCAGAAGACUGGAGCCGUGUUUCACUGACAGGCUGUCAGACUAACGCCCUGAUGAGCUCAGCUGGGACAAACUGGUCUGAUGUUUAGGAACACAGAACGCUCAGAUGUUGGAGCUCACGUCACAUACUGAGGAAGGAGACCCACCAGUAAAGAGACGGUCUGGACCAGACCAAAAAUAUGGCGAUGACAUCAUGGAACUGGUCUUUGGAAAAGUUUUCCCUGAACCAACUCCGUUUCUAGAUUAGGUAGAGAAGAUCUGCAUCUCACCAACUCUCUGGUCUCAGUAUUCAGACAACGGAGGUCUCCCACUGUUAUCCAGGACCAGUUUGAAGCCCACAUACUGCCCCUCCCUCAUCAUCAGGAAACAUCAAUCCGUAUCCUGAGGACAACAGAAGACGGCAGGAGGACAGGAACUCUGAGAACUAGAUACCACAGCACCGGGACACAAAGCACCUGUGUGCACAACGCCUGUUUAACUACUAAAACCUGUUUAUUAUAUUGUUCUACUUAUUUGCUGUGAGGUUAAUACUUAGAAAAUUUGUAUUUUAAUGUAAACAAUAAAAA